rnacentral:rRNA from 1 species
GAUGAACGCUGGCGGCGUGCUUAACACAUGCAAGUCGAGCGAAGCGCUUUUGCGGAUUUCUUCGGAUUGAAGCAACUGUGACUGAGCGGCGGACGGGUGAGUAACGCGUGGGUAACCUGCCUCAUACAGGGGGAUAACAGUUGGAAACGGCUGCUAAUACCGCAUAAGCGCACAGUACCGCAUGGUACCGUGUGAAAAACUCCGGUGGUAUGAGAUGGACCCGCGUCUGAUUAGCUAGUUGGUGGGGUAACGGCCUACCAAGCCGACGAUCAGUAGCCGACCUGAGAGGGUGACCGGCCACAUUGGGACUGAGACACGGCCCAAACUCCUACGGGAGGCAGCAGUGGGGAAUAUUGCACAAUGGGGGAAACCCUGAUGCAGCGACGCCGCGUGAGCGAUGAAGUAUUUCGGUAUGUAAAGCUCUAUCAGCAGGGAAGAAAAUGACGGUACCUGACUAAGAAG